rnacentral:rRNA from 2 species
AAGUCGAGGGAGAACCAGUCGUUCCGUAAGGCGCGGCUGGGGAAACCGGCGAACGGGUGCGUAACACGUGAGGAACCUGCCCCGAAGACCGGGAUAGCCCGGGGAAACCCGGAUUAAUACCGGAUAUCCUCUUUGGACCACAUGGUCUGUUGAGGAAAUGGUCCGCCGCUUCGGGAUGGCCUCGCGGCCUAUCAGCUUGUUGGUGAGGUAAUGGCUCACCAAGGCAAAGACGGGUAGCUGGUCUGAGAGGACGAUCAGCCACACUGGGACUGAGACACGGCCCAGACUCC